CUGUUGUGGUACUUUUUUGAAAGUCCUUGUUCACCAUUCACUUUCACUGUGUGCGUGAACAUUCUGCCAUUUCCUUCUGUAUUUGACAGAACAAGGAAAGAAAAGAAAGAAAGAAUUUGAUCUACGGGUGAGUUUUUAUUUUGGGGUGCACUAUCCCUGUAAGAAUUCAUCUAACGUCUCCAGGCUGUUGUUUUCGAUUCACAUUGUCACAUUCACCAAAAGGGAAGAGCCAAAAGCAGACAGUAAACACUUUUUUUCUCCUUCUCUGUCUAAAGAAGUCUUUUUCCUGGCUUUAUAAAACCUGUCUUUCACAAAGGCCACUAACAAAAGCAUUGUUUUCCAUUAAUGCACGUUAACAUACUUUAUAUACAGACUCAGGACAAAACCACUGCAGAUGCCAUGCAUUUAACAUUCCAACCUACAUAGAGCAGUGGCUGUUGUGUUCAAACCAGUCUGAGUCUGUUUUCCCAUCACGCUGUCUCUGAAAUGGUUUAUCUGGGCUGACACUGACCAAAAUAUUAUUUCGUUAUCGUUUCAAGAAACCCAGUAAACCUGGCAGUGUUAAAACUGAAUGAACAAGGCCUGUUGGACAAAUUGAAAAACAAAUGGUGGUACGACAAGGGAGAGUGUGGCAGCGGAGGAGGUGAUUCCAAGGUCAGCCCCAAUGUGACAAACCCAGCGGGUAAAACCACCACUACCAUGGGGGGGUAACCGGCAACUCACGCCGACUAAACACUCUAGAGCGAAACAAUCUGUCCUAAACUGAGCUUACUUCUUACACAUUUUGGUUGAUUAAUAAAUAGCAAGUACAUUUUGAUCAAAUUAUGGCAUAUCAUGGCAACUGGUCAAUAAUAGCUGACCACGUUCACAUUAUUCCAGGUGGAGUGUUUGCGGUCUGCCGGUUACCCAAAGUGAUAUUAUAAUACACAUCUUGCAGCAGGGAGCAAGGAAGCAUCGCUAGAUGGAGUAUUAACCCAUAUCACUUUUACAAUGAACUACCAACAUGUUUCUGAUAUGUGUGCAGUCAAUUAAAAAAGAAAAAGAAUCAGAACAGUUGAGUUGAUAUUGAUGGGUAUGUGUUUAAUGUGUGCUGAAUAACAUAAAAUAACAUGGAUAAUGUUAUUUAUGUUAUUUUCCUGGUUGAAGAGUCCCAGUUAACCUAGCGGUGUUGAAACUCAGUGAGCAAGCCGUCUUAGACAAACUGAAAAACAAAUGGUGGUACGAUAAGGGGGAGUGUGGAAGCAAGGACUCCGGAAGAAAGGACAAGACCAGUGCUCUUAGCCUCAGCAAUGUGGCUGGGGUUUUCUACAUUCUGAUCGGCGGUCUGGGCCUGGCCAUGCUGGUGGCCCUGGUGGAGUUCUGCUACAAGUCCAGAACAGAGUCCCACAGAAUGAAGCAAUCCAUCAAUGACGCCAUGCGCUGCUCCACGCUGACCAGGAUGAGUGGGAAUGGUAGCGGCGGGGAGAACGGGCGGAUUGUCACACAUGACUUCCCCAAAGCUGUGCAGACGCUGCCGUGCAUGAGCCACGCGGCGAGCAUGGGCUUGGGAGCCUCUGGCAUGUGACCAUCUUGACGGAGCGGCACGCGUCACAUGUACCGCACGGCCCUCCCGUUCCCCUGCCGUCUGCCCCUAUGUCUGUCUGGCCGCCCGCAACAGACACGCCGUACUGCCAAAAUGCACUCGAAGACUCUUCUCAGUGAAUAGCCACCAAUAAAACUAUUUUCUAAAGAAAAAAAAACAUUAAAAAGGGGGGGGGG